AAAAAAACUUAUCAGUCAAUUCUUGGUAGCACAGCAGACAUGUCUGCAUUAUCGUUUCUUCGUGUUUCAACUUUUGGGUAGUCCCUGCAUUUCUUAAUGCAUGCUUCUUUAGCUUUUUCUUGUAGAAACAGGCCAAAAACACACUGCCUUUUUUUCCCGUUGAAAGUUUAACCAAACAUGCAUAAGCUAACCACAACUUUACACUUCAUUUUGCUACAUUAUUUUACAAUAUUUCUAUAAAGAAGACUCCACCUUCAUCAAUCUCCAGAGAAAGCAAAAAGGGCCCCUGCUAAAUGAACAAUUAUUGGAAGCUUAUGAAAGCAAAGAACUUUGUUACCAUCUCCAUAAAGCAAACCCACCACCUCCUCCUAAUACCUUUCCUCUCUUUUAUCCCACUGUCUUCUUUCUCGCUAAGUUUAGCAUCCCUGUCUCCUUCUUCACUAAGAUAAUAGGAUCCAUCCUUCUACAUAUUAAGAAACAUCAUAACAGUCUGUUUAUCUAUUUCAAAGUCUCAAGUUUCCUUACCUCCAUUCCAUUUUGGGGGGAGAGAGAGAGAGAGAGAGAGAGAGAGAGAGAGAGAGAGAGAGAGAGACCGAGAGAGAGAGAUACGGACAGAGACAGAGGCAUAGAGAGAUGGGUGCUGAUUGGGGACCAGUCAUUGUUGCUGUGGUCUUGUUCAUCCUCCUUUCGCCAGGGCUGCUAUUCCAAUUACCGGCAAGAACUAGGGUAAUGGAGUUCGGAAACAUGAUGACAAGUGGGAUUGCUAUUCUGGUUCAUGCUGUCAUAUACUUCUGCAUACUGACCAUCUUGAUCAUAGCAAUUGGUAUUCACAUACAUGUCAACUAGUCCAUAUCAUUUUCAGCCACCACCCACAGUGGUGUUUGUUCUUUUCUUUUAAUUUUUUUCUGAAGUGAUUCUUCCUCUUUCUACUACUGUGCUCCUUCUUUAAUGUUGUCCUGCUACCUGAUUGGUUUAGUUCACUUCACACUCGGCAUUGACACAUUGUAAAGGAGCAUCUCAAUGAAUUGGUUCAUAACAUCAAUCAGGCUCAACAACACAAGGUUGUUCCAUAUUGAGUUUGAUCUGACUUAGUUUCCAAUCUAUAUUGUUUAAGUUUUAUAGUAUCAGUGGCUACACAGAAAGAUCUAUCUGUAAUAAACCUACUUUUAUGGAGUUGCUUAUCAUUUUAACACGAAGCAUUGUCAUCCAAGCAUGUGUAAGAACCUAAGGGGCAAAAUAUCUAGACAAAGAUCUAUCUUUUCUAUGGGUAUUGUGAAACCAUGCACUUAGAG
rnacentral:lncRNA from 1 species